UAAGAAGCCGAAAGGCAACUUCAAACCAUCGCGAACUUAUCCAAGUUGCUUCGGCGGCGCGGGACCCCUCGGGGGACCGCAGCCCGCGCCCUCCGGGGCGAGGGGCGCCCGCCGGAGGUCACAAACUCUCAUGUAUUACAGUGGCGUCUCUGAGUAAAAAACAAAUAAGUUA
rnacentral:misc_RNA from 1 species